GACCAGUCAGAAUUUACGAGGGUAAAGUACCAGAAGCUCUCGAUAUCCAGGUUAUAGGUCUAAAUUCUUACUUGGCUUGUUAAGCCUUUUUUAGUCCCAUGAAUUAGAACCCCAUGAGGACCUGGCUUUGCUGAAGAGGUAAGAGUUUAUUUAUAAUUAAUGCAUGACAAAAUCAGUCCUCCUGGCAGUUAAUUAUAUGCACAUUUAAUUUAUAAGGUACCUAAGCAUUUCAGUGUUAUUCUCAUUUCACUUCAGUUCUUCAAAGACCUAUCCUGGCCAAAUAUUGAUUGUAAUAUUUAGAAAAAGUCUGGCCACUUCUUUUUCUGAUUACGAACAAGUCUGAUCAUGGUUGAAGAGCCACUUUUUUUUUUUUUUUUUUUGGUGAGGAGGGUGAGGAGUUACCAGGGAUUGAACUCAGGGGCACUCGCCCACUGAGCCACAUCCCCAGCCCUAUUUUGUAUUUUAUUUAGAAACAGGGUCUCACUAAGCUGCUUAGUGCCUCCCUUUUACUGAGGCUGGCUUUGAAAUCUUCCUGCUUCAGUCUCCCAAAUCGCUGGGAUUAUAGGCAUGCACUGCACCUGGCCAAAGAGCCACUUCUUUUAAAAGCUUUGUCUACCUGUUUGUUAGUAGAGAUUUAACAAAUAUUUGUUAAAUAAAUGAAAAAAGAAUCAAAGAUCAAUUCUAUUUCACAGCAUUUAGCCAAUUCAUUUCUGUCCAGGAAGAAUGGGCAUAAACACUUGCCUUCUAAUGUGGCUAAUCUCAGCAUUACACGUGAUGUGUCAUCCAAACAUCCAAAGGAAUUACCAUCCCCCAUUUUAUUAAUUAAUCUGUGAGCACAACUUUAGGGUGAAUUUCUGUGUUGUAUAAUGGACCCAUUAUAUCUAUAUCAGGAUUUCCUAAUAUGGGAAAUAUUGAAAUUUUGGACCAGAUAAUUCUUUGCUAUGAGGGACCCGCCUGUACACUGGAGGAUGUUUAGUAGCAUUCUGACCUUUGUCUACUAGAUACCAGGAGGAACCUCUUCCCUUGCCUCAUACCCAGUUAUGACAAUGCAAAAUGUUUUUAGAUAUUACCAAAUGUCUUCUGCUGAGAAUCAUCCUCAGUUAGGAAAAACUCUUUUAUAUUUUAUAUAGAAGCAUAAUAUGUGGGUUGGGGAUAUAGCUCAGUAGUAGAGCACUUACCUAACAUGUGCCAAGUCCUGGGUUCAAUUCCCAGUACCGCAAAAGUAAAAAAAUUAAAAAAGAGUAAUAUGUGAUUAUGCCAUUUUAAACAAUACUAAAAUUGGGGGGGGGAACAAUAAUCUUUGUUGUUGUUGUUUUGUUUUAUUUUGUUUUCUGUUUAGAGAAGGUGUUCUGUAACAUUCUGCUCCAAGGAACACAUGCCGAAUGGAUUUUUCUCUGAGAAGGAUUGGACAAAGUAGGCAGGGCCUGUCUCAGCUGGCCUCACCAUCUCAAUUCUGUCUACCUGCAUGCAGCAUGGGAGAGCUAAUGGACCACUCAUUCACAGGAUCCCUUUGAGACAUUCCUGGAAAAGCAGCACAGCCCAUGAACAUCAGGAAGGCAUGCUGACCUCAGGCAAUCUGGCAAAAUACUGUGGACAGCAGUGAGGUAAAAAACCUUAUUAGCAGUCAAGACUCUCCAGUCAAACAGCUUUGAUCCACACUAUAGAUUCCCUCUGAGUAGGUAGGAUGGCUGCAUAUUACGUAUAGGUCUAGGCAUUAUAGGUGACUUUAUGAUUUAUAUAGGGAAAUAAAUUUACAAGAAACAUUUAGAAGACCAGAGUUAGGAUUUCUUGCCCAUAAAAAUGAUGUCAUAUGAAUCCCUAA